GACGAACGCUGGCGGCGUGCUUAACACAUGCAAGUCGAGCGGUAAGGCCCGUUUCGGGGGUACACGAGCGGCGAACGGGUGAGUAACACGUGGGUGACCUGCCCUCAGCUCUGGGAUAAGCCUGGGAAACUGGGUCUAAUACUGGAUAUGACUCCACGGUGCAUGUCGUGGGGUGGAAAGCCUUGUGCGGCUGAGGAUGGGCCCGCGGCCUAUCAGCUUGUUGGUGGGGUGANGGCCUACCAAGGCGACGACGGUAGCCGGCCUGAGAGGCGACCGGCCACAC
rnacentral:rRNA from 1 species